rnacentral:rRNA from 1 species
AGCGAACGCUGGCGGCAGGCCUAACACAUGCAAGUCGAACGAACCCUUCGGGGUUAGUGGCGGACGGGUGAGUAACACGUGGGAACGUGCCUUUAGGUUCGGAAUAACUCAGGGAAACUUGUGCUAAUACCGAAUGUGCCCUUCGGGGGAAAGAUUUAUCGCCUUUAGAGCGGCCCGCGUCUGAUUAGCUAGUUGGUGAGGUAAUGGCUCACCAAGGCUACGAUCAGUAGCUGGUCUGAGAGGAUGACCAGCCACAUUGGGACUGAGACACGGCCCAAACUCCUACGGGAGGCAGCAAUGGGGAAUCUUGCGCAAUGGGCGAAAGCUUGACGCAGCCAUGCCGCGUGGAUGAUGAAGGUCUUAGGAUUGUAAAAUCCUUUCACCGGUGAAGAUAAUGACUGUAGCCGGAGAAGAAGCCCCGGCUAACUUCGUGCCAGCCGCCGCAGUAACAC